GGAGCCGAUAGCCGCGCGCUCUACUUUUUCUUUCCCUCCAAAGGCGAUGUAGAAGCCGGCAGAGGGACCACACGGCGCGAGGACAUACGACGUUAGCAAAGAGUCGUCGGCCAACACACCCGCCCUCCAUCUCAGAUCCCAACAGGAGAGCAAGUAAGAGGAUAACGUGAUGCCUCCAGGCCACAGCAGCUGCACCACCCGAUGGACUCUCCAGGCUCUGAAUGAGGGGAAAUAAGGAGGCAAAGAUGGAGAACGUAAACAAGACAGCGCAACAAGAACAAUGGAUGAACUCAAAAGGGCUCAAACAAAAAGAAAGUGCUCGCAAAG
ensembl:lncRNA